rnacentral:rRNA from 1 species
GGAAUAUUGCACAAUGGGGGAAACCCUGAUGCAGCCAUGCCGCGUGUGUGAAGAAGGCCUUCGGGUUGUAAAGCACUUUCAGCGAGGAGGAAAGGUGGAUGCCUAAUACGUAACAGCUGUGACGUUACUCGCAGAAGAAGCACCGGCUAACUCUGUGCCAGCAGCCGCGGUAAGACGGAGGGUGCAAGCGUUAAUCGGAAUUACUGGGCGUAAAGCGCACGCAGGCGGUUGGAUAAGUUAGAUGUGAAAGCCCCGGGCUCAACCUGGGAAUUGCAUUUAAAACUGUCCAGCUAGAGUCUUGUAGAGGGGGGUAGAAUUCCAGGUGUAGCGGUGAAAUGCGUAGAGAUCUGGAGGAAUACCGGUGGCGAAGGCGGCCCCCUGGACAAAGACUGACGCUCAGGUGCGAAAGCGUGGGGAGCAAAC